CCCACAUGCUCUGACGUAGAAAAAGGGGCGGAGAAAAAGGAAAAAAGGGGAAAAGCGUCCCCUGCUGCCUUAAGCUUGACGCAUGCGAAGUUUAUCCUUGCCCCGCCCACCCCUAUUUCCCGCCCGCGGAUGGAACAGGCGGGUUUCACUUUUCUUUCGUUGAGCGCGGGGGGGAGGUACCAAUCUGUUUGCGGGGGUGAAGAAGGAGCAGACCUAUCGAUUGU
rnacentral:lncRNA from 1 species